GACAAUUAAAAUACGGUCAUUAAUUACUCGCGCUCGUACGGCGCCAACUCCGUAAGACCGAAUUCAGAUAAAAGAUGAAAUCUGAGAGCUUUGUGACGCUCCAUAGGCAUCAACGCAACACCGUCCAAGGCCCAGAAACGCAAAGCGGGGCACAGCUGUUGAUUUCAGUAAUCGUCGUGCCUUUCCUUGACCGGUUCUGAAGUCGUCUGGGGAAAAAUGCACACUGCACAACCUCAGCUGUCUCGCGUAUGGGAGCGGAAGAUCAACGCGCCGCUCAACGGCCAGCAGCCACCGCCUGAGCCGCUUCGGCUCGUUUACCGGGAAAGUGUGAAAGGUGCAGCUCUCUGACAGUAAGGAUACGUGUGAGCAUGCUGUCCAGAACUUCAUCACUCAAGGAGGUGGUGGAGAACCACAUGGGACUGUUGGGUACGCAGGAGCGCUCGGGGCUCAGGGACGCCAGCUGAAUUAAAAUAAACAAGUGAUGCAACAAGAACUUCCAACACACAGCCAAGAUGGUAUGACCGUUCACUGACCUGUGCUUGUGUCCUCUUUCGGGGGAUAGAAACGCAAACAGGCCACUUUUGUGUUGCC